rnacentral:lncRNA from 1 species
CUUAACGAAAAGAGCUAUAUUCUGCUACGCCACAUCAGAAACUUAAAAUUUGAUGUUAUUCAGUUCACAGAACUUAAAAUGCACACUUAUCUCAGUUGGACUGUUCCUCUUGCUAACAUUCUCCAAUUGUAGUAUUCUGCAAACACUCAUGGUCAGUACAGAUGGUAUGCUGUUUCCUGUCCAAGCUACCUAGAAAUUUAUUUUCCCUUAUUUACUCACUGUUUUUCAUCUCAGGUGAUAUCAAGCCUGCAUAUAUUCUGUACCAGCAUGUAUCCUCUUCCAUCAAGCCAGAUAUAACUCACGACAUUAUGAAUUCC